rnacentral:rRNA from 1 species
AAACUUGAGAGUUUGAUCCUGGCUCAGAACGAACGCUGGCGGCAUGCCUAACACAUGCAAGUCGAACGCCCUCUUCGGAGGGAGUGGCGCACGGGUGCGUAACGCGUGGGAACCUGCCCUUAGGUUCGGAAUAACUCAGAGAAAUUUGAGCUAAUACCGGAUAAUGUCUUCGGACCAAAGAUUUAUCGCCUUUGGAUGGGCCCGCGUAGGAUUAGGUAGUUGGUGGGGUAAAGGCCUACCAAGCCGACGAUCCUUAGCUGGUCUGAGAGGAUGAUCAGCCACACUGGGACUGAGACACGGCCCAGACUCCUACGGGAGGCAGCAGUGGGGA